rnacentral:rRNA from 1 species
UGGGGAAUUUUGCACAAUGGGGGAAACCCUGAUGCAGCGACGCCGCGUGAUUUAGAAGGCCUUCGGGUUGUAAAAAUCUUUUCUAUGGGAAGAAAAUGACAGUACCAUAGGAAUAAGGACCGGCUAAUCACGUGCCAGCAGCCGCGGUAAUACGUAAGGUCCGAGCGUUGUCCGGAAUCAUUGGGCGUAAAGGGUACGUAGGCGGGUAAGCAAGUUAGAAGUGAAAUCCUAUAGCUCAACUAUAGUAAGCUUUUAAAACUGCUCAUCUUGAGGUAUGGAAGGGAAAGUGGAAUUCCUAGUGUAGCGGUGAAGUGCGCAGAUAUUAGGAGGAAUACCGGUGGCGAAGGCGACUUUCUGGCCAUAACCUGACGCUGAGGUACGAAAGCGUGGGUAGCAAACAGG